GAUGAACGCUGGCGGCGUGCCUAAUACAUGCAAGCCGAGCGAACAGACGAGGAGCUUGCUCCUCUGACGUUAGCGGCGGACGGGUGAGUAACACGUGGAUAACCUACCUAUAAGACUGGGAUAACUUCGGGAAACCGGAGCUAAUACCGGAUAAUAUAUUGAACCGCAUGGUUCAAUAGUGAAAGACGGUUUUGCUGUCACUUGUAGAUGGAUCCGCGCCGCAUUAGCUAGUUGGUAAGGUAACGGCUUACCAAGGCAACGAUGCGUAGCCGACCUGAGAGGGUGAUCGGCCACACUGGAACUGAGACACGGUCCAGACUCCUACGGGAGGCAGCAGUAGGGAAUCUUCCGCAAUGGGCGAAAGCUUGACGGAGCAACGCCGCGUGAGUGAUGAAGGUCUUCGGAUCGUAAAACUCUGUUAUUAGGGAAGAACAAAUGUGUAAGUAACUAUGCACGUCUUGACGGUACCUAAUCAGAAAGCCACGGCUAACUACGUG
rnacentral:rRNA from 1 species